rnacentral:rRNA from 1 species
AUGGCACUGCAACUGCUUGCUCAUGUGCGCACCUCCAUGACAAUUAUCCCUCCUGAUUAUGUUGGAUGUCUGAACAAGAUUGUCCAGCAUAUAAGACUACCUUAUUCUGCACAUCCCCCAACAGAUUGCCGCCGCCCCUCCCCUCCCGACCUUCUACCGCGGCAGCGGCCUGGGAGCGCCGCCGCCGCCGCCCCUCCCCUCCCAACCUUCUACCGCGGCAGCGGCCUGGGAGCGUCGCCGCCCCUCCCUUCCCGGCCUUCUUCCGCGGCAGCGGCCUGGAAGCGCCGUCGCCCCUCCCCUCCCGGCCUUCUUCCGCGGCGGCGGCCUGGGAGCGAUGCCGCCCCUCCCCUCCCCGCUUUCUCCCGCGGCGACGGCCUGGGAGCGCCACCGCCCCUCCCCUCCCGGCCUUCUUCCGCGGUGGCGGCCGGCAGCGACGCCGCCCCUCCGCUCCCCGUGUUCUUCCGCGGCGGCGGCCAAGCAGUGACGCCGCCCAUCGCCUCUCGGCCUUCUUCCGCGGCAGCAACCGAGCAACACCUCCCCCACCAGCAUAUCGUCCUUCUUCCACGGCAGCAGCUCGAUGUCGAUUGGUGCUGCCUCGACAUCAAACCAAUUCGAGCGAGGAGGACCGUGCGCAAGGUUCCUUCAUCCACGACAGCUACUUGGAUUAAGUCUGCAACGACCUUCAGAGCAAAUCCUCCGUCUCCGUUCACCUUGAGCAAUGUCCAGACCACUCAUGAACUUCUGAAGGGCAAGUGGACUGCACGGGUGAACGCGAAAGUUGUGCAGACGAACGAGAAGGGAACUUCCUCCUACAAAUGCAAGAAAUCACUUCAACACGAGGAAAUGACGUUCAACAGAUACAAAAUGCCACGCAUAAUUGGCAACCCAGGGAACAACUACUUUCAGAAGAGUAAAGCUUCUUCUGAAAGAGAAACUGGCUGGGUUACCCGUGAGAUUCCUCGAGGAUUCUUCAUGACAACAAACAGGGUGCAGUACUCUCCGGAAGAGGAUUUUUCCCAGGGAGAAGAGAUAGUCGAGGAUGACGACUACGUCACAUUCGUGUGGGAGGGCACUCACCGACAGGAGGAUGAAGAUGACUACGAUGAAGAUGAGCCAAUAACAUUUCUCAACCCAGAGUAUAAGCACGAGUUCACUACGUUUGGACAGCAUGUUCGAAUAGACAAUGAUGAUGCAGUUGAACACGAUGUUGCAGCAGAUGAUGAUUAUGACUACGAUGAUGUGCCACCGCUGCAAAAUUUUCAAACCAAUCCACUGAGCCAUCGUCACAACACUGGAUUACCACCACGUCCACCUGCUGCACCCCAAAACAGAGCUCAGCGUCCACCUGCUGCACCGAAAAAUAGAGCUCCAAGCAGAGCUGCUGCAUCAACUUCGACACUGCGACCACCAACGGUGCCUCGGUCAAAAGUCAAAAGCAGGUACAAAUCCUCCUCACUAUUGCCGCCGCGAGAUCCUCAACUACACAGAUCUGCUAUAACCCCGCCAUGUCCAAUACAACCCGGCGAGCUGCAAACACCAUCGGGUGAACGACUCUACACACAUGAUAAAAACAUGCCGCUGAACCUCAUACCUGCCGCUGGAAUGAAGUUCACCACGUACGACAAGGCAUGGGACUUUUACAACAAUUAUGCAAGAUGUGCAGGGUUUGGCAUACGCAAGAGGGCAAAACACAGGACAAAUGCCUACAUUGUCUGCUCAAGAGAAGGGACGCACAAGCAGACUGUGUCAGAUUAUCACCGGAAACGUCAGAAGACAUAA